CCUACGGGAGGCAGCAGUAAGGAAUAUUGGUCAAUGGACGAAAGUCUGAACCAGCCAUGCCGCGUGAAGGAUUAAGGCCCUCUGGGUUGUAAACUUCUUUUAUCUGGGACGAAAAAAGGGUAUUCUUACUCACUUGACGGUACCAGAGGAAUAAGCACCGGCUAACUCCGUGCCAGCAGCCGCGGUAAUACGGAGGGUGCAAGCGUUAUCCGGAUUUACUGGGUUUAAAGGGUGCGUAGGUGGGUCUGUAAGUCAGUGGUGAAAUCUCCGAGCUUAACUCGGAAACUGCCAUUGAUACUAUAGGUCUUGAAUUAUCUGGAGGUAAGCGGAAUAUGUCAUGUAGCGGUGAAAUGCUUAGAUAUGACAUAGAACACCAAUUGCGAAGGCAGCUUACUACGGAUAUAUUGACACUGAGGCACGAAAGCGUGGGGAUCAAACAGGAUUAGAUACCCUGGUAGUCCACGCCCUAAACGAUGGAUACUCGACAUCAGCGAUACACUGUUGUGUCUGAGCGAAAGCAUUAAGUAUCCACCUGGGAAGUACGAUCGCAAGAUUGAAAUUCAAAUGAAUUGACGGNUUGAGACGNGCGAGACGACGACGAGGAGGAGG
rnacentral:rRNA from 1 species